UACGUAGGCACCAAGCGUUGUCCGGAUUUAUUGGGCGUAAAGAGCUCGUAGGUGGCUCGGUAAGUCGGGUGUGAAAUUUCGAGGCUCAACCUCGAGACGCCACUUGAUACUGCUGUGGCUAGAGUCCGGUAGGGGAGCGUGGAAUUCCUGGUGUAGCGGUGAAAUGCGCAGAUAUCAGGAGGAACACCAGCGGCGAAGGCGGCGCUCUGGGCCGGUACUGACACUGAGGAGCGAAAGCGUGGGGAUCGAACAGG
rnacentral:rRNA from 1 species